GACGAACGCUGGCGGCGUGCUUAACACGUGCAAGUCGAACGGAAAGGCCCUGCUUUUGUGGGGUGCUCGAGUGGCGAACGGGUGAGUAACACGUGAGUAACCUGCCCUUGACUUUGGGAUAACUUCAGGAAACUGGGGCUAAUACCGGAUAGGAGCUCCUGCUGCAUGGUGGGGGUUGGAACGUUUCGGCGGUUGGGGAUGGACUCGCGGCUUAUCAGCUUGUUGGUGGGGUAGUGGCUUACCAAGGCUUUGACGGGUAGCCGGCCUGAGAGGGUGACCGGCCACAUUGGGACUGAGAUACGGACCAGACUCCUACGGGAGGCAGCAGUGGGGAAUAUUGCACAAUGGGCGGAAGCCUGAUGCAGCAACGCCGCGUGCGGGAUGACGGCCUUCGGGUUGUAAACCGCUUUCGCCUGUGACGAAGCGUGAGUGACGGUAAUGGGUAAAGAAGCACCGGCUAACUACGUG
rnacentral:rRNA from 1 species